AGUGAACGCUGGCGGUAGGCCUAACACAUGCAAGUCGAACGGCAGCACAGUAAGAGCUUGCUCUUACGGGUGGCGAGUGGCGGACGGGUGAGGAAUACAUCGGAAUCUACUUUUUCGUGGGGGAUAACGUAGGGAAACUUACGCUAAUACCGCAUACGACCUACGGGUGAAAGCAGGGGAUCUUCGGACCUUUCGCGAUUGAAUGAGCCGAUGUCGGAUUAGCUAGUUGGCGGGGUAAAGGCCCACCAAGGCGACGAUACGUAGCUGGUCUGAGAGGAUGAUCAGCCACACUGGAACUGAGACACGGUCCAGACUCCUACGGGAGGCAGCAGUGGGGAAUAUUGGACAAUGGGCGCAAGCCUGAUCCAGCCAUACCGCGUGGGUGAAGAAGGCCUUCGGGUUGUAAAGCCCUUUUGUUGGGAAAGAAAAGCAGCAGGUUAAUACCCCGCUGUUCUGACGGUACCCAAAGAAUAAGCACCGGCUAACUUCGUG
rnacentral:rRNA from 1 species